AUUGAACGCUGGCGGCAUGCUUUACACAUGCAAGUCGAACGGUAACAGGGAGCUUGCUCCGCUGACGAGUGGCGAACGGGUGAGUAAUGCGUCGGAACGUGCCGAGUAGUGGGGGAUAACGCAUCGAAAGGUGUGCUAAUAUCGCAUACGAACUGAGGUUGAAAGUGGGGGACCUUCGGGCCUCACGCUAUUCGAGCGGCCGACGUCUGAUUAGCUAGUUGGUGAGGUAAAGGCUCACCAAGGCGACGAUCAGUAGCGGGUCUGAGAGGAUGAUCCGCCAGACUGGGACUGAGACACGGCCCAGACUCCUACGGGAGGCAGCAGUGGGGAAUUUUGGACAAUGGGCGCAAGCCUGAUCCAGCCAUGCCGCGUGUCUGAAGAAGGCCUUCGGGUUGUAAAGGACUUUUGUCCGGGAGCAAAUGCUGGUGGCUAACAUCCACCGGAGCUGAGAGUACCGGAAGAAUAAGCACCGGCUAACUACGUGCCAGCAGCCGCAGUAACAC
rnacentral:rRNA from 1 species